rnacentral:rRNA from 1 species
AACGAACGCUGGCGGCAUGCCUAACACAUGCAAGUCGAACGAGACCUUCGGGUCUAGUGGCGCACGGGUGCGUAACGCGUGGGAACCUGCCCUUAGGUUCGGAAUAACUCCCCGAAAGGGGUGCUAAUACCGGAUAAUGUCUUCGGACCAAAGAUUUAUCGCCUUUGGAUGGGCCCGCGUUGGAUUAGCUAGUUGGUAGGGUAAAAGCCUACCAAGGCGACGAUCCAUAGCUGGGCUGAGAGGAUGAUCAGCCACACGGGGACUGAGACACGGCCCAAACUCCAGCGGUGGCGGGCGGGGGGGAAGUUUGCAAAAGGGGCGAAGUCCUAAACGAAAACGUCCGGGUGAGCGUAGAUGGUAUGGGGGUUGUAAACAUUUUUAACCGGGGGUGAUAAGGCCACUUCCGGGAGAAUAAACUAGGGCUAACCCUCAA